rnacentral:rRNA from 1 species
AACGAACGCUGGCGGCAUGCCUAACACAUGCAAGUCGAACGAGACCUUCGGGUCUAGUGUCGCACGGGUGCGUAACGCGUGGGAACCUGCCCUUAGGUUCGGAAUAACUCCCCGAAAGGGGUGCUAAUACCGGAUAAUGUCUUCGGACCAAAGAUUUAUCGCCUUUGGAUGGGCCCGCGUUGGAUUAGCUAGUUGGUAGGGUAAAAGCCUACCACGGCGACGAUCCAUAGCUGGUCUGAGAGGAUGAUCAGCCACACUGGGACUGAGACACGGCCCAGACUCCUACGGGAGGCAGCAGUGGGGAAUAUUGGACAAUGGGCGAAAGCCUGAACCAGCAAUGACGCGUGAGUGAUGAAGGCCUUAGGGUUGUAAAGCUCUUUUACCCGGGAUGAUAAUGACAGUACCGGGAGAAUAAGCUCCGGCUAACUCCGUG